AUGGUGAACAUUCCUAAAACCCGCAGGACUUUCUGUAAGAAGUGUGGCAAGCACCAACCCUGCAAAGUGACACAGUACAAGAAGGGCAAGAAUUCUCUGUAUGCCCAGGGAAAGUGGUGUUAUACAGGAAGCAGAGUGGUUAUGGUGGGCAAACUAAGCUGAUUUUCCAGAAAAAGGCUAAAACUACAAAGAAGAUUGUGCUAAGGCUUGAGUGCGUUGAGCCCAACUGCAGAUCUAAGAGAAUGUUGGCUAUUAAAAGAUGCAAGCAUUUUGAACUGGGAAGAGAUAAGAGAAAGGGCCAAGUGACCCAGUUCUAA
rnacentral:lncRNA from 1 species